UUAAGCGACUAAGCGUACACGGUGGAUGCCCUGGCAGUCAGAGGCGAUGAAGGACGUGCUAAUCUGCGAUAAGCGUCGGUAAGGUGAUAUGAACCGUUAUAACCGGCGAUUUCCGAAUGGGGAAACCCAGUGUGUUUCGACACACUAUCAUUAACUGAAUCCAUAGGUUAAUGAGGCGAACCGGGGGAACUGAAACAUCUAAGUACCCCGAGGAAAAGAAAUCAACCGAGAUUCCCCCAGUAGCGGCGAGCGAACGGGGAGCAGCCCAGAGCCUGAAUCAGUGUGUGUGUUAGUGGAAGCGUCUGGAAAGGCGCGCGAUACAGGGUGACAGCCCCGUACACAAAAAUGCACAUGCUGUGAGCUCGAUGAGUAGGGCGGGACACGUGGUAUCCUGUCUGAAUAUGGGGGGACCAUCCUCCAAGGCUAAAUACUCCUGACUGACCGAUAGUGAACCAGUACCGUGAGGGAAAGGCGAAAAGAACCCCGGCGAGGGGAGUGAAAAAGAACCUGAAACCGUGUACGUACAAGCAGUGGGAGCACGCUUAGGCGUGUGACUGCGUACCUUUUGUAUAAUGGGUCAGCGACUUAUAUUCUGUAGCAAGGUUAACCGAAUAGGGGAGCCGAAGGGAAACCGAGUCUUAACUGGGCGUUAAGUUGCAGGGUAUAGACCCGAAACCCGGUGAUCUAGCCAUGGGCAGGUUGAAGGUUGGGUAACACUAACUGGAGGACCGAACCGACUAAUGUUGAAAAAUUAGCGGAUGACUUGUGGCUGGGGGUGAAAGGCCAAUCAAACCGGGAGAUAGCUGGUUCUCCCCGAAAGCUAUUUAGGUAGCGCCUCGUGAAUUCAUCUCCGGGGGUAGAGCACUGUUUCGGCAAGGGGGUCAUCCCGACUUACCAACCCGAUGCAAACUGCGAAUACCGGAGAAUGUUAUCACGGGAGACACACGGCGGGUGCUAACGUCCGUCGUGAAGAGGGAAACAACCCAGACCGCCAGCUAAGGUCCCAAAGUCAUGGUUAAGUGGGAAACGAUGUGGGAAGGCCCAGACAGCCAGGAUGUUGGCUUAGAAGCAGCCAUCAUUUAAAGAAAGCGUAAUAGCUCACUGGUCGAGUCGGCCUGCGCGGAAGAUGUAACGGGGCUAAACCAUGCACCGAAGCUGCGGCAGCGACGCUGAUGCGUUGUUGGGUAGGGGAGCGUUCUGUAAGCCUGCGAAGGUGUGCUGUGAGGCAUGCUGGAGGUAUCAGAAGUGCGAAUGCUGACAUAAGUAACGAUAAAGCGGGUGAAAAGCCCGCUCGCCGGAAGACCAAGGGUUCCUGUCCAACGUUAAUCGGGGCAGGGUGAGUCGACCCCUAAGGCGAGGCCGAAAGGCGUAGUCGAUGGGAAACAGGUUAAUAUUCCUGUACUUGGUGUUACUGCGAAGGGGGGACGGAGAAGGCUAUGUUGGCCGGGCGACGGUUGUCCCGGUUUAAGCGUGUAGGCUGGUUUUCCAGGCAAAUCCGGAAAAUCAAGGCUGAGGCGUGAUGACGAGGCACUACGGUGCUGAAGCAACAAAUGCCCUGCUUCCAGGAAAAGCCUCUAAGCAUCAGGUAACAUCAAAUCGUACCCCAAACCGACACAGGUGGUCAGGUAGAGAAUACCAAGGCGCUUGAGAGAACUCGGGUGAAGGAACUAGGCAAAAUGGUGCCGUAACUUCGGGAGAAGGCACGCUGAUAUGUAGGUGAAGUCCCUCGCGGAUGGAGCUGAAAUCAGUCGAAGAUACCAGCUGGCUGCAACUGUUUAUUAAAAACACAGCACUGUGCAAACACGAAAGUGGACGUAUACGGUGUGACGCCUGCCCGGUGCCGGAAGGUUAAUUGAUGGGGUUAGCCGCAAGGCGAAGCUCUUGAUCGAAGCCCCGGUAAACGGCGGCCGUAACUAUAACGGUCCUAAGGUAGCGAAAUUCCUUGUCGGGUAAGUUCCGACCUGCACGAAUGGCGUAAUGAUGGCCAGGCUGUCUCCACCCGAGACUCAGUGAAAUUGAACUCGCUGUGAAGAUGCAGUGUACCCGCGGCAAGACGGAAAGACCCCGUGAACCUUUACUAUAGCUUGACACUGAACAUUGAGCCUUGAUGUGUAGGAUAGGUGGGAGGCUUAGAAGUGUGGACGCCAGUCUGCAUGGAGCCGACCUUGAAAUACCACCCUUUAAUGUUUGAUGUUCUAACGUUGACCCGUAAUCCGGGUUGCGGACAGUGUCUGGUGGGUAGUUUGACUGGGGCGGUCUCCUCCUAAAGAGUAACGGAGGAGCACGAAGGUUGGCUAAUCCUGGUCGGACAUCAGGAGGUUAGUGCAAUGGCAUAAGCCAGCUUGACUGCGAGCGUGACGGCGCGAGCAGGUGCGAAAGCAGGUCAUAGUGAUCCGGUGGUUCUGAAUGGAAGGGCCAUCGCUCAACGGAUAAAAGGUACUCCGGGGAUAACAGGCUGAUACCGCCCAAGAGUUCAUAUCGACGGCGGUGUUUGGCACCUCGAUGUCGGCUCAUCACAUCCUGGGGCUGAAGUAGGUCCCAAGGGUAUGGCUGUUCGCCAUUUAAAGUGGUACGCGAGCUGGGUUUAGAACGUCGUGAGACAGUUCGGUCCCUAUCUGCCGUGGGCGCUGGAGAACUGAGGGGGCUGCUCCUAGUACGAGAGGACCGGAGUGGACGCAUCACUGGUGUUCGGGUUGUCAUGCCAAUGGCACUGCCCGGUAGCUAAAUGCGGAAGAGAUAAGUGCUGAAAGCAUCUAAGCACGAAACUUGCCCCGAGAUGAGUUCUCCCUGACCCUUUAAGGGUCCUGAAGGAACGUUGAAGACGACGACGUUGAUAGGCCGGGUGUGUAAGCGCAGCGAUGCGUUGAGCUAACCGGUACUAAUGAACCGUGAGGCUUAACCUU
rnacentral:rRNA from 1 species